rnacentral:rRNA from 1 species
AGUGGCGUACGGGUGAGUAACACGUGGAUUAUCUGCCCUUUAGUGGGGAAUAACCCUGGGAAACCGGGGCUAAUACCGCAUAAGCCCGAGAGGGGAAAGCAGCAAUGCGCUGAAGGAGGAGUCCGCGGCCGAUUAGCUAGUUGGCAGGGUAAAAGCCUACCAAGGCAAUGAUCGGUAGCCGGCCUGAGAGGGCACACGGCCACACUGGCACUGAAACACGGGCCAGACUCCUACGGGAGGCAGCAGUGGGGAAUCUUGCACAAUGGAGGAAACUCUGAUGCAGCGACGCCGCGUGAGCGAUGAAGCCCUUCGGGGUGUAAAGCUCUUUCGACGGGAACGAUAAUGACGGUACCCGGAGAAGAAGCUGCGGCUAACUAUGUGCCAGCAGCCGCGGUAAUACGUAGGCAGCAAGCGUUGUUCGGAAUUACUGGGCGUAAAGAGUGUGUAGGCGGUUCUCUAAGUUCGGUGUGAAAUCUCCCGGCUUAACUGGGAGGGUGCGCCGAA